rnacentral:ribozyme from 1 species
GAAACCUCCAGUCCUGGCUACGUCAGAUCUCCCUCAAGUCUGACUCCACUCCACUCUACUUGUUCUACUUGUCUACUCUACUUGUCUACAUCUGAUGCUUGGGUAUACGAUUAAAUCCAAACCCUUGGGAAGAUGGGUGAUAUGACUAAAUUGAGCGGA